rnacentral:lncRNA from 1 species
AUGAUAUCAAUUACAUCUGUUAAGGUUCACUUGCACCUUCUUGCUGGUUAGAAAGUGGGACUGUUUUCCAGUUUUGAUAUUACUGACCAUCUCUUUUGCCUCGGAUGUCAGGGAGAAAAAUUAUCUUCAGUAAAACAUCCCCAUUUUGUCGCACUUAGACUUUCCGUCCCCAGGCCAUCCAGAGAGGUUAAUCAAUCCUUAGUGACCUCCAAGAGCCUGCAGUGUAGCUGGAUAAGGCCCCAAUCCAGCAAAGCACUUAAGUAUAUCUUGCUGUAAACAUGUGAACGGUCCUAUUUUUAGUGUAAUUCGGCAGUAAUUCCAUUUUGAAGUAGAGCAUCUCGAAGGAUUCUGCUCCUUGCAAGUGUUGUGCAAGACCUGGCUGCUCCAGCUGCAAGUGAAAACACUGUCCAAGGCCCCUGGCGUCUCUGCACCGAGACCAGAAGGAGUGUAAGGAGCAUUCUGGUGACACCAUGGGACAGAAACUUCUCUGGGUUCAGCGCACCGUGAUAGGAGAAGACAGCUGCAGCAGGCUCGCUCUGAGGCAAACACAUCUUCCCAGGCGUGGAACGUAUUGGGCACCGUCUGGGGACCUGGCAUCCAGCUUACGGAUGGGGAUUCACCCUGGCAGCAGCCAAGUCCCUGAGGAGAAGGAGGGAUGAAGCAAAGUCUGGUGAGUUACACAGAUCGCUUCCCCGGCAGUGUUCCUGCUCUUCUCAGCACAGACUGUUUGC